AGAGUUUGAUCAGUGGCUCAAGGACGAACGCUGGCGGCGUGCUUAACACAUGCAAGUCGAGCGGAAAGGCUCCUUCGGGGGUACUCGAGCGGCGAACGGGUGAGUAACACGUGAGUAAUCUGCCCUUGGCUUUGGGAUAACUACCGGAAACGGUGGCUAAUACCGGAUACGACCACUCCUUGCAUGAGGUGGUGGUGGAAAGUUUUUUCGGCCAGGGAUGUGCUCGCGGCCUAUCAGCUUGUUGGUGGGGUAAUGGCCUACCAAGGCUUCGACGGGUAGCCGGCCUGAGAGGGUGACCGGCCACACUGGGACUGAGACACGGCCCAGACUCCUACGGGAGGCAGCAGUGGGGAAUAUUGGACAAUGGGCGGAAGCCUGAUCCAGCAACGCCGCGUGAGGGAUGACGGCCUUCGGGUUGUAAACCUCUUUCAGUACCGACGAAGCGCCGAUGAUGGUGGUGACGGUAGGUACAGAAGAAGCACCGGCCAACUACGUG
rnacentral:rRNA from 1 species